GGGCAAGGAGAAGCAGAGGAUAACGUACAGAUGGCAUGGAGUUUCUCAGGAGCUGAAAUUUCCUUGGCACGACGUGAUUUACAGUCCUUGGGAUGCCCACGCACAGGCUGAGGGAGACCCGGCACCAGCCAGGGCAGAGUGGCCGCAUCCUUUCUGAGUCGGGGCCAGGAAUGUGGAGUGGCAUGGCCAGUGUCUGGGAGCAGUCCAGUGAGAACAGUCAGUCGGAAGCCCGCUUUCCUCCCCAAGCACGCAUUGAGUCCAACCACAGCCAGGCCUCAGUGUCCCAAAGGUGACUCGGCGUUCACAUCGGGGCCUUCACUUCAUGCCUUCCACAGGUUUUUGCCCCAAGACUCCAUUUUUUCUGACUCUCAAGGGCAGCCUCAAUCACAGAGGAUGGAUGGAGUUGGAGACAGAAAGCCCGAGUGCCUCCCAGCAAAAAGUACAUGAUUAAGUCCUUUAAAGGAGCAUUAGGAUGAAAUGACGCAGAGCAGAUAAGCAAACAGAACCAAAGGCCAUGGGACAGGUGGCUGUGGCUGGAAAGAUCCUGGAGAGAAAGCCUAAGUCCAACCGAGGAAUGGAGAAACCCAUGAAGGCCCUGAAAAGAGAUGACAGAGGUGGGGGACGACGAGGGCAGAAUACAAAAUAC